rnacentral:rRNA from 1 species
UACGUAGGGGGCUAGCGUUGUCCGGAAUCAUUGGGCGUAAAGCGCGUGUAGGCGGUCCGGUAAGUCCGCUGUGAAAGUCGGGGGCUCAACCCUCGGAUGCCGGUGGAUACUGUCGGGCUUGAGUACGGAAGAGGCGAGUGGAAUUCCGGGUGUAGCGGUGGAAUGCGUAGAGCUCCGGAGGAACACCAGUGGCGAAGGCGGCCGCCUGGGCCUUUGCUGACGCUGAGCCGCGAAAGCGUGGGGAGCGAGCCGG